AUGCCGUCGAAGCGCCCCAUCGGAGGGAGUGGCGACGCCGGGACUGCUGAAGCACCGGAGCACGGCGUGAAUAUGGAGACAGAGGUUCACGAUUCAACUCGGAAGGGAGAUCAGUCAGCAGAACAGCUAAAGCUCUCUAGUGUUGUUACUUCUCAGUCUACAAUAGUUUUUUCAGGUACACAAAUAUACUCAGAUGCAGCUUGGUCGUUGGAGCCAGGACAAGCUGUAGCAAAGGCGGGCAUAGGUGUUUUCUUACAAAUUAACCGGCAACAUACCGACCAUGUAUACAUCUCUGCUGUGUCGCCACCAGUAGCAUUAGCUCUGCAGGCAGAAGCUUAUGGACUGCUGUUGGCGGUGAAGAUUGCAGCUCAACUACAUGUGCAGAAUCUGAAGUUUUUGACAGACUCUGCCGUGCUUGCCUCAGCUGUUGUAGAGCCUGAUGUUACUAAAGCAGGUCGGUGGGCUAUCCGGCCAAGCUUAGCUGCUAUCCAGACCACGCCUUCAUUUCAUCCAUGCAGAAUACUCAAAAGUGCACAGGAGUCUGAAUUUCAAGGCACACCAUCAGGCUAG
rnacentral:rRNA from 1 species